GCCCGACGCGGGGCUCGAACUCACAAACCUCGAGAUCACGACCUGAGCCGAAGUCAGACACUUCACCGACUGAACCACCCAGGCGCCCCAAGAAGUGAGCGACUUAGAUAUACGGCAGUGGGCUAGGACCAAAUUUCAGUAUGGCUUCUCUGACCAGCGCUCAGUAAACAUUUACUGACUGGUACUGCUCAAACAAUCGUCCUCUGAAGAAAGGGGGCUGACCUAGGAAUUCAGCAGCACUGCCCACAGAUGUCGGUGGGUCGGGCCCGGAGGCGGAUCUCAUGAGCAUGACCUGAAGGUAACGGACUCUUUUACAAAGUCCCCAGAAACAGGCUGGGUUUGGAUUUGAGGGUACGGG